rnacentral:rRNA from 1 species
CCUACGGGUGGCAGCAGUGGGGAAUAUUGCACAAUGGGGGAAACCCUGAUGCAGCGACGCCGCGUGAGUGAAGAAGGAUUUCGGUAUGUAAAGCUCUAUCAGCAGGGAAGAAAAUGACGGUACCUGACUAAGAAGCCCCGGCUAACGACGUGCCAGCAGCCGCGGUAAUACGUAGGGGGCAAGCGUUAUCCGGAUGUACUGGGUGUAAAGGGAGCGUAGACGGCAGUGCAAGUCUGGAGUGAAAGCCCGAGGCUCAACCCCCGAACUGCUCUGGAAACUGUACGGCUGGAGUGCAGGAGAGGUAAGUGGAAUUCCUGGUGUAGCGGUGAAAUGCGUAGAGAUUAGGAGGAACACCAGUGGCGAAGGCGGCUUACUGGACUGUAACUGACGUUGAGGCUCGAAAGCGUGGGGAGCAAACAGGAUUAGAUACCCUGGUAGUC